GUAGAGCACUCCUACGGGAGGCAGCAGUGGGGAAUAUUGCACAAUGGGCGCAAGCCUGAUGCAGCCAUGCCGCGUGUAUGAAGAAGGCCUUCGGGUUGUAAAGUACUUUCAGCAGUGAGGAAGGUGGGUAUGUUAAUAGCAUACUCAUUUGACGUUAGCUGCAGAAGAAGCACCGGCUAACUCCGUGCCAGCAGCCGCGGUAAUACGGAGGGUGCGAGCGUUAAUCGGAAUUACUGGGCGUAAAAGCGCAUGCAGGUGGUUUGUUAAGUCAGAUGUGAAAGCCCGGGGCUCAACCUCGGAAUUGCAUUUGAAACUGGCAAACUAGAGUACUGUAGAGGGGGUAGAAUUUCAGGUGUAGCGGUGAAAUGCGUAGAGAUCUGAAGGAAUACCGGUGGCGAAGGCGGCCCCCUGGACAGAUACUGACACUCAGAUGCGAAAGCGUGGGGAGCAAACAGGAUUAGAUACCCUGGUAG
rnacentral:rRNA from 1 species